UUAAAGGUUGCUUGGAGAUGGCGUAGUGGGGCUGUAGGUGGCUGGUUUCUGCUGCCGGCGCUGGAGAUUGGGAUUUAGCCGGAGAAGAAGAACCUCCGGCAGGUUGUAUGUGGUGGAGGGUUAAGGUAUCAGCCUUGACCAGUUGACCUCUUGACUUUCAUUCAACAUUUCUUCAUGGGCUAAUUAUUAAUUUCGGCCUGAUUUAUUUGGGUAAAUACUAAUAUUUUAUUUUGGGUUUUUUUUUAUGGACUCAAGUUCUCAAAGAAAUAUUGAAUGCGGGCUAGUUUGCUCUCAUGAGUUUUAUUUGAGAUAUAGAAUUUAAAAAUUAAAAUGGUUAAUUAAUUGGCGUGCGGGCUUGCAGCUAGCAAUUUCGGUCUACACAAUUAUGAAUUAAAUUUAAGGAAAUGUUCAAUUUAUCGGAUUAGUGAUAUCCCUCCUAGAUUAAAGAAAUAAACGCUAAUUGUGGGAUUAUAUAAUUAAAUGAUCACUUAGUAAUGCCAUCGAUAAUUAAGAUUAGCAGAUCAUAAUUAUCAUUUUACUAGUAUAUGGAUAUGAGUUUUGAUAUGAGGUUUUGCCUCUGUGCGGUGUUAAGUGGUUCGAGCUAGCUGUUUAUAUUUAUGAGAAUGUGAGACGACAUAUGUCAGCUUCCUGUGAAUUUUCUCAUUAUAUUUAUGGGUCGAACGCACCAAUAUCGGCUCAUUAUUUGUUAUAUGAAAUACUAGUUGUCUUUGUGAUAAUUGCAUGAAAGACAAAUUCUGGUCCCUGACAAUUAUACGAAAAAAAAAAACAGAAUUUGGCCCAUAAAACUUGUAUGUAAGACCGGGAUUUGGCCAUCAGUAUUGCGAGGAAAUACCAUAGGAGUACCCCAUGACACUUGUAUGUUUUUGUAUGUGGUAUUUUGGGGAAUUCACUAAGUUUUAUACUUACAAUUUCAUAUGUAUGGCUUCAGGUACUUUCAGUUCGAAAGUGUAACGUCCCCCUCCGGCAUGUAUCACAAUAUUGCCCGUUUUGGGCUCCCGGCACGAAAAAUUCCCAGGGAGUCACCCAUCCCUAUAUUGCUCUUGUUUGGGUAUGCUUAACUGUAGAGUUCUUAUGGGAUUUGUUGCCCUCACGACUUUAAAAAGCAUUGUAACAAUGAAGGUAUCAACACCCCUUAUAAGGAAAUGUUUCGUUCUUCUUCCAAGCCGAUGUGGGAUCAAGUGUACCCCACCUUUACCCCCAUUAUAGGGUUCAAUGUACUUAUCGAACACACCAGCUCUAAUACCAUUUAUGUCAAACCCCCG
rnacentral:lncRNA from 1 species